AUGAGUCAUUGUGGAUGGAAUUCAUGUAUCGAGAGCAUUUCAAUGGGAGUUCCAAUGGCAGCUUGGCCGAUCCAUUCAGAUCAGCCGAGGAACACUGUGCUGAUAACAAAAGUACUGAAGAUCGGGAUUAUUGUGAGAGAUUGGGAAAAUCGAUAUGAAUUGGUAAGUGCUGCGAAAAUUAAAAAUGCGGUGAGAUUUUUGAUGGAUUCUGCCGAAGGAGAGGAGCUGCGGCGGAGAGUGACAGAGUUGAGCAGUUCUGUGAAGAAGUCAGUGAUGAAUGGCGCCAGUCGCAAGGAGAUGGACUCCUUUGUUGCUCAUAUUACCAGAUAAGUUCGCA
rnacentral:misc_RNA from 1 species